rnacentral:lncRNA from 1 species
UAGCCUGGUUCCUCUCUACCCAGUACAGCCAGUAGAGGACUGGCCACCCCUCAUAGCCUGGUUCCUCUCUAGGUUUCUUCCUAGGUUCUGGCCUUUCUAGGGAGUUUUUUCCUAGCCACCGUGCUUCUACACCUGCAUUGCUUGCUGUUUGGGGGGUUUUAGGCUGGGUUUCUGUACAGCACUUUGAGAUAUCAGCUGAUGUAAAAAGGGCUAUAUAAAUACAUUUGAUUUGAUUUGAUUUCCAACAAGUCAGUUCGUCAAAUGUCUGCCCUGCUAGAGCUGCCCCAGGUCAACUGUAAGUGCUGUUAAUGUGAAGUGGAAACUUCUAGGAGCAACAAUGGCUCAGCCAAGAAGUGGUAGGCCACACAAGCUCACAGAACAGGACCGUGUAAAAUUCGUCUGUCCUCGGUUGCAGCACUCACUAGCGAGUUCCAAACUUCCUCUGGAAGCAACUUCAGCACAAGAACUGUUCACCUGGAGUUUCAUGAAAUGGGUUUCCAUGGCCGAGCAGCCGCACACAAGCCUAAGAUCACCAUGUGCAAUGCUGGAGGGGUGUAAAGCUCACCGCCAUUGGACUCUGGAGAUUGAAUCACGUUCUCUGGAGUGAUGAAUCAUGUAGCAGUGAUGAAUCAUCUAGCAGUUUCUGGGUUUGGCAGAUACCAUGAGAGCGCUAUCUGCCCCAAUGCAUAGUGCCAACUGUAAAGUUUGGUGGAGGAGGAAUAAUGCUCUAGGCCCCUUAGUUCCAAUGAAGGGAAAUCUUAAUAACGCUACAGCAAACUAUGACAUUCUAAACGAUUCUGUGCUUCCCACUUUGUGGGAACAGGUUCGAAAAGGCCCUUUCCUGUUUCAGCAUGACAAUGCCCCCUUGCACAAAUCCUGGUCUAUAUGUGACCUUCCUGGUCCCGUCCCUCAAGUCAGUGAGUCAACACAGGAAGGAGCAAAGGAUGGAUUUUUUUAUUUUUAAAUUGAACCGUUAUUUAACUAGUUCAUUUAUUUCCAAAGCUGCAAUGAUGAGACAAACAGCAUGGAUGAAUGAUCAUUAGUCAGCGUGAUAUAAAUAGCACUCCCACAGCAAUUCUCCAUAAAUCUGCAGUAUGAUAUAUUAACAAAAGAAAAAAUAUCGAAAUGUCUAUCAAGAUCAUUGUGAUCGUAUAGUGGAUUUAACAAUUUCUAAUAAUUCCUAAUUUACUAUAAUAAAAAUAAACAGUUUCCAUGUGUAAUCUCAUAUUCACAACAUCAGUAUAAACCAUCAUCCAUUUUGGUAUUAAAGAUAGAUAAAAUUAACCUGGAAAAAAAUGACUCAAUGUCGCCCUCUUGUGGCGAAGAAAUAUAAUACACCUGGAAUGUACAACAAAUACUUAAUUUUAUUUAUUUCACCUUUAUUUAACCAGGUAGGCUAGUUGAGAACAAGUUCUCAUUUACAACUGCGACCUGGCCAAGAUAAAGCAAAGCAGUUCGACAACAUACAACAACACAGAGUUACACAUGAAGUAAAACAAACAUACAGUCAAUAAUACAGUAGAAUUUUUUUUUUUUUUAUUCAUUUGUCAUAAAUUACUUGCAAUGAUGGGACACACACAGUAUGGAUGAAUGUUCAUUAGUCGACAGGAUAUAAGGAUAUAAAUAAAUAGAAGAUGCCUUUUUCCAGUUAGCUACCAACUUGAAAGAGGGAACUUUAGCAUAAAACCCACAUGGAAAACUGAGAUUCGGCAAAUAACACAUAAAGACCGGCUUAUUUGACACCAAACCAACAACAGUAGUUACUAAUAACAUAAAUUGCUAAUGUACGAUGUAAAAAGUGUAUUUUAUGAUGUAAUGUCAACUUUAAAUAUUUGUAUCCCGGGAUCAUUUCAUUUUCACCUCACCCACAGUAAUUCUCCAUAAAUCUGCUGUGGAUUACCCAGAAUCCCAUACAUGUAUCACUAAGUGUAUUUAUUAGACAAUGUAAACACACUAUUCUAACAGGAAGUGGCAUAAUACCCAUUUUAUGCAGGAAUUUAACAACUUCAUUACACCUUUAUAAAUACAGAAAUGCUUUGUCGAGAUCGAUGUGGAAGAACUUGACUGGCCUGUACAGAGCCCUGACUUUAACCCCAUCGAACACCUUUGGGAUGAAUUGGAACGCCGACUGCGAGCCAGGGCCUAAUCGCCCAACAUCAGUGCCCGACCUCACUAAUGCUCUUGUGGCUGAAUGGAAGCAAGUCCCCCGCAGCAAUGAUCCAACAUCUAGUGGAAAGCCUUCCCAGAAGAGUGGAGGCUGUUGUAGCAGCAAAGGGGGGGACCAACUCCAUAUUAAUGACUUCCCUGAAGAGUGGAGGCUGUUAUAGCAGCAAAGGGGGGGUCCAACUCCAUAUUAAUCACUUCCCAGAAGAGUGGAGGCUGUUAUAGCAGC